GAUGAAGAACGUAGCGAAAUGCGAUAAGUAAUGUGAAUUGCAGAAUUCAGUGAAUCAUCGAAUCUUUGAACGCACAUUGCGCCCGCCAGUAUUCUGGCGGGCAUGCCUGUCUGAGCGUCAUUUCAACCCUCAUGCCCCUAGGGCGUGGUGUUGGGGAUCGGCCAAAGCCCGCGAGGGACGGCCGGCCCCUAAAUCUAGUGGCGGACCCGUCGUGGCCUCCUCUGCGAAGUAGUGAUAUUCCGCAUCGGAGAGCGAUGAGCCCCUACCGUUAAACCCCCAACUUUCCAAGGUUGACCUCAGAUCAGGUAGGAAUACCCGCUGAACUUAAGCAUAUCAAUAACGGAGGA
rnacentral:misc_RNA from 1 species